CAGCAGCCGCGGGAAUACGGGGGGGGCAAGUGUUAUUCGGAAUGACUGGGCGUAAAGGGCACGUAGGCGGUGAAAAGGGUGGAAAGUGAAAGUCGCCAAAACACUGGCGGGGUGCUUUCUUGACCAUUUCACUUGAGUGAGAUAGGGGAGAGUGGAAUUUCGUGUGGAGGGAUCAAAUCCUAAGAUAUACGAAGGAACGCCAACCGCGAAGGCAGCUCUCUGGGUCCCCACUGACGCUGGGGUGCGAAAGCAUGGGGAGCAAACAGGAUCAGAUACCCGAGUAGUCCCUGUCUCUUAUACA
rnacentral:rRNA from 1 species